rnacentral:rRNA from 1 species
AGAGUUUGAUCCUGGCUCAGAUUGAACGCUGGCGGCAGGCUUAACACAUGCAAGUCGAGCGGUAGCACAGGGGAGCUUGCUCCCUGGGUGACGAGCGGCGGACGGGUGAGUAAUGUCUGGGAAACUGCCUGAUGGAGGGGGAUAACUACUGGAAACGGUAGCUAAUACCGCAUAACGUCGCAAGACCAAAGAGGGGGACCUUUGGGCCUCUUGCCAUCAGAUGUGCCCAGAUGGAAUUAGCUAGUAGGUGGGGUAAUGGCUCACCUAGGCGACGAUCCCUAGCUGGUCUGAGAGGAUGACCAGCCACACUGGAACUGAGACACGGUCCAGACUCCUACGGGAGGCAGCAGUGGGGAAUAUUGGACAAUGGGCGCAAGCCUGAUCCAGCCAUACCGCGUGGGUGAAGAAGGCCUUCGGGUUGUAAAGCCCUUUUGUUGGGAAAGAAAUCCAGCUGGCUAAUACCCGGUUGGGAUGACGGUACCCAAAGAAUAAGCACCGGCUAACUUCGUGCCAGCAGCCGCGGUAAUACGAAGGGUGCAAGCGUUACUCGGAAUUACUGGGCGUAAAGCGUGCGUAGGUGGUCGUUUAAGUCCGUUGUGAAAGCCCUGGGCUCAACCUGNGAACUGCAGUGGAUACUGGGCGACUAGAGUGUGGUAGAGGGUAGCGGAAUUCCU